AACAGCUCAAAUUUGAAAUCUGGCGCAAGCCCGAGUUGUAAUUUGUAGAGGAUGUUUCGGGUGAAGCCACGGUCCAAGUCCCUUGGAACAGGACGUCAUAGAGGGUGAGAACCCCGUACCUGGCCGUCGGUGCCCCCCGCUGUGAAACUCCUUCGACGAGUCGAGUUGUUUGGGAAUGCAGCUCUAAAUUGGUGGUAAAUUCCAUCUAAAGCUAAAUACCGGCCAGAGACCGAUAGCGCACAAGUAGAGUGAUCGAAAGAUGAAAAGCACUUUGAAAAGAGAGUUAAAAAGUACGUGAAAUUGUUGAAAGGGAAGCGCUUGCGGCCAGACUUGCCCGCGGUUGCUCAGCCCGCCUUUUGGCGGGUGCACUCUUCCGCGGUCAGGCCAGCAUCGGUUUGGGCGGUCGGAUAAAGGCGUUGGGAACGUGGCCUCCCCUCGGGGAGGUGUUAUAGCCCGGCGCGCAAUGCGACCAGCCCGGACCGAGGUUCGCGCUUUGCUAGGAUGCUGGCGUAAUGGCCGUAAGCGGCCCGUCUUGAAACACGGACCAAGGAGUCUAACAUCUAUGCGAGUGUUUGGGUGUCAAACCCGUGCGCGUAAUGAAAGUGAACGGAGGUGGGAACCGCAAGGUGCACCAUCGACCGAUCCUGAUGUCUUCGGAAGGAUUUGAGUAAGAGCAUAGCUGUUGGGACCCGAAAGAUGGUGAACUAUGCGUGAAUAGGGUGAAGCCAGAGGAAACUCUGGUGGAGGCUCGCAGCGGUUCUGACGUGCAAAUCGAUCGUCAA
rnacentral:rRNA from 1 species